CGCCGCACCCAGUCUGGCUCAUCGGCAGAGCAGAUUCGUUCGGUGAUGGCUGUGUGCCUGUUGCCUCCUCUGUCUCAGCGUCGACGAGGAUCCCCUGAGACGGCCACCGGCAGCCUCCUCACAAGGUAAAGGAAAAGAAGAAGCUGCAUUCUUUGUACCUUCUCGCCAAUCGCAUCUUGAAUUAGUAUUGUGUCAGCAGAUGUACCAAACACUACCUGUCCACCUUUCAUUUCUGUAUCAAAGAAUGCCAUGUCUUGUCUCAAAACCGACUUGAGAUACAAAGAUCGAAAGCGAGCUGCCUGCCUCUCCCCAGUCACGGUCCAGCAUGAUAUCUCUGUGGCGUUGCAUGCUUGCAGAUUCAUACAGAAGCAAAAGGGUACCUUGUCGACUCGGGGAAGGAUGGUGUCCCGGGUGGCACCUCCAAAGGCAUCUACCAUCCGCCCGAAGAUGAUCGACAUGACGACCUGUGACAUGCCGCUCGCAAGCGCGGCGACCGUGCCAACCAGCAUCAGCACCACAUCAGCGGCGUCCGCGUUCUUGAACAGGUCAUGGAACGACGCCUUACCACCCUUGGUCAUCUUCUUCCUGCCUUUCUCUUCCUCUUCUCCACCCUUGACUCCACCAUCAGCUCUUGCAUUAUUUGUUUCUCCCAUGCUAUGCCUACCAGGUAAUUGACUAGCGCCGUGUGUCUAUUGCUCUAGCUGCUGAGUGAACUUCUGCUUUUAUAGUGUCAUUGUCUUGUUAGUUCACAGGUAAGUCCAUUCACAAGAGCAACCAUAAAGUUAGAUGUGGUUGACAGUUGGGUAAAAAACGGAAAAUGACACAGAUAAAUGUGUCAACAAGGUGCGAUGCCAACCUAAAGACGAGUAGGAUAACAAAACUGGCCACAAGAGCUGCAUAUCCUAUUCGCUCACCCUUCGGAGUGCACUCCUUCACAGAUGACCUUUUCCCAUUUGAGUCAGUAACUCACCAUGAUUUUUUGCUUUUGCUGGAUUUUUAACAUUAGAUUUCAACUUCAAACACAAAAGCUGUUUGAAGGAACCUGUCUCUCUUUUUCUUUGUUCACUAUCCUCUUCUUCUAUUGCUUCUCAAGUUUUUCUCUGUUUUUUACUCUCAAGUACAUGCAGCUGUCUAAAUAAUACAUAGACUGAGUAAACAUUUGAGAAUUAUGAAGUAACAAAAUCCCCAGAGCUUUCAUUGCACUCGCCAUGGUGGUGAAAUAAUUUAUGUACCGAUCGGUUUCAGUGCCAGAACCACUAGUAGAAAGUGCUUGAAUGAUGUUAGGAGUGCACCCUUAAUUAAAGGCUGUCUUUGUCCUGCAGACCCAAACUGAUUCAACAUUGUGAAACCAGAUCUUCUUCGCUGGGAAAGCGACGGCCGAUGAAAACCCCUCUUCCUUGACAGCGGCUGGCCUAGGGGUAAACUCUGCCGAUAAUUUUAAUGCGAGGAGCUGUUUUUUUUGCAGGUGUCCACAUCAGAGGAUGACUAGGACACUUGGUGCAUCAGCUCGGUCGUACGCAUCGGCUUGGCUGCGUCAGCUCAGAUGAGCUUAGUAGGCCUGGUCUUGCCUGGCAGUGGCAGGAGGUAUCGCAGGGUGUUCAGCGCCCAGAUUUGUAGCUAGUCGCUCGCGCCACGAUGGCAGCUGCUGGAGUGAGCCAAAUGGAAGAUCCCGGGGGACCUGAGCGUUUGGAUGCUUGGAGCAUCAGCUCUGUUCGGAUGUGCGUGAGAGCUUCUGCAAAUGGCAUGGCCUGGCCCCGCUCUCUUUUUGUUCUUAUCCUGCUUAUGCAGAUUAGGGCAUAGCGUGUAGGACCUAAGUAGGGGUACUGUGUAUUUCUAUAUUUUUUUAUUAGAGGAGUGUAUUUGUAUUUGUUUCUGGCCGAAGAUAUAUACUACUGCUUCAUUGAUUAUGUUUGUAUUGCAAAGAAAAUCUCACAUCCAAAUUACGCUAGCGUCAGUUUUUUU